UUUAUCGUACGUUUCUCUCAUCUCCAUCCCUAAAUUGCCUCCUGGAUCUUCAACAUGAAGGUUCAAUUCCGAUUUCUUUCUUGAUCAUCUUGAUUUUCUGAUUUUGUAUUGCUGAAUGUUGAUUAUAUUUCUUUCUUUUUUUUGAGUGUUUUGCGUUCGUUCGUAAUCUAGGGUUUCUCCAUCUUCAAUCAUACAUAUGUUCUAAUAAUCAAAUGUCUUCAUCACAAAGGUACGAUGCAUGUUGUUCUUCCUCGGGAAGUUGUGAAGGUAUUUAUAAAGACUCGGCUUCUAUCCUAAGUGUGUUGUUCCUGGCGUUAAUCAACUUAGAGAGCUUUUGUAGCAUCCUGGCUCUUUCACUGCCAAGCAUUGUUUCAUAAUAAAGAUUAGAGGAACUGAAGCAAAAGAUGUUGAGGAAGAUAAACUAAAAUUAUUGAUGAAUGUUACUGGAACAUUUAGGCCUGGUGUGAUUAAUGCAUUAGUGGGAAGACCACCUUAAGGGAUGUGUAAGGUAUCAACAAAUUGGAGUAACAGAGGAAGCAUUUAUAUUUUUUUGAUAUCCGAAGUCACAAGAGGUUCAACUCUUUCGAUACAUAUGCUCAAUUGAACGAACCAACUGAUUUGCUUUUCACCGCAAAUAUUGUUGCUGACCCGUAUCAUCCAUGUUGUUGUUGAUGAACUAAAUGGGGCACACAUCUAUUAGGAUAUAGGGUGUGGUCAUGACCAUCAUGACCGUCCACCUCAGUGCCAUGUCACCCACCUCUAAUCUAAAAUUCAAAACCACUACCCUAAGGGUGUGGUCAUGGCCCCCACACCCUUUAGCCUUAACUAACCACAUACUUAUGCUCAUUCCAUUGUCAUAGACUGAUAAGAUAUGCAACUUCAUUCACGCGUGCACGCUCAAGCACUGUGCGGGGAUACAUGAUGGGUAAUACUAGCAAUCUUGCCGGUAAACUUGCUGAUGCUUGAAGGUGAGUCGCCGUUAUCGAAUCUUGAUGCUUAUGAAGCAGGAAAAUGUGUGGCGGAAGGACACAAACCUAUAUUGAUGGUCAAACAAGGUAAAGUGUUGUUGGAUGGCAUGAUAUCAUUGAAGUCGAACAUAUUUCGAUAUAAGUUUCAGAUCGAUCGGAUAGGGAAUCGUACCAGUGAUUUGAGUUAGCACGCUGAUUACGGGGCAAAGUUUUAGAGCUUCGUGUACAAUAGCAGUAUAAUGAGUGAGAAAGAAAAGCGUUUGAACGAGUCUGCAUGUCCAAAAUCACGUCCCUUUUAUAGCUGAUCUUUGACCUCGUCACGUCGUGCAACCGGAUUCAAGCUACACCUUCUCAUAGCACGAAGAGGUUAGGCUAGGGCAUAUGUGGCAUGAGUCACCACGUAGACAUGUCACGUGGCUGCCACGUGGUGCCAUGUGUCAGCUGGCGGUCAAAGGAGGGUCGCGUAACGUGACCGUAUUACCAUAUAACCGUCGCCUAGCGCGACGUGACCUAGAACAGGGUUUCUCAUUUUUUGUGUUGGUUUCCAUCGUAUUCUUUUGGAGUCUCGGUUAAGAUUUGUUAUGGCCCUUUCGAGGGUUAUUAUACUCUGUAAGCCUGUAAUCGUUGCUAUUUGGAGCAUGGCUGAGAAUGGUUUGAGUCCAGGAGUUCCAGAGACUUAGGUUGAUCCUGUGUAUUGGCUAGACAGUUGGAAGAAAGUAUACAUCCACACCAUUAAUCCAAUUACAGGACCUGAAAUGUGGCCUCCUUCAAUGUGCCCAACCAAAUUGACUCCUCUUAAACAUCAUAAGAAGGUUGGAAGGCCUAAGAAGAAACGAAAGAGGUCUCAAUUGGAAGUUGAAGCCGGCUUAACAAGGGGGGGGGGGAAGCUUACAAGAAAAGGAUGCACCACAAAAUGCAGCAAAUGCAAUGAUCUCGUCCACAACAAUCGCAGUUGCAAGGGUCAAGGUGGUAUAUAGUCUGCUUAGAUGUCAACUAUGUUGUUGUUGCUUUGUGUUUAAACAAUUAUGAUGUGUUGUUUGUUACUUUAUUAUGGUUGUGUUUGAACUAUUAGGAUGCAUGUCGUCGAACAAUUACUUAGAUGGUUAAGUAGCCAAAUUUUGGGACAACUGUUAUUGUAUGGAAGGUUAUAUACCAUCUAUUAUCAGUUUGGUUUAUGUCAA